rnacentral:lncRNA from 1 species
UUACUGGGACUAUGUGGUGACAGGUUUACUCUUGAUGUGGCUUGUCUGUGAUAUGGUGCAUUCCAUGAGAUCAUAUUUUAUUGAGAUGUUUUACUGUUCUACUCACUGGGCUAUAGAGCUCAUCCCACUCCCUUAACCCCAGUUUUGCAGGUUCAGUGUACAGAGUACAGGGACAGUCCAGCAAAGUACAGGGAGAGUAAAA